GACGAACGCUGGCGGCGUGCUUAACACAUGCAAGUCGAACGCUGAAGCUCAGCUUUUGUUGGGUGGAUGAGUGGCGAACGGGUGAGUAACACGUGAGUAACCUGCCCCCUUCUUCGGGAUAACGCCCGGAAACGGGUGCUAAUACUGGAUAUUCACUGGUCUUCGCAUGGGGGUUGGUGGAAAGGGUUUUUCUGGUGGGGGAUGGGCUCGCGGCCUAUCAGCUUGUUGGUGGGGUGAUGGCCUACCAAGGCUUUGACGGGUAGCCGGCCUGAGAGGGUGACCGGUCACAUUGGGACUGAGAUACGGCCCAGACUCCGACGGGAGGCAGCAGUGGGGAAGAUUGCACAAUGGGCGCAAGCCUGAUGCAGCGACGCCGCGUGAGGGAUGGAGGCCUUCGGGUUGUGAACCUCUUUCGCUCAUGGUCAAGCCGCAACAAUGGUUGUGGUGAGGGUAGUGGGUAAAGAAGCGCCGGCUAACUACGUG
rnacentral:rRNA from 1 species